rnacentral:misc_RNA from 2 species
GACAGCAUGGCAUUGUAGGGCUCCACACCGUAUCUGACACUUUGGGCGAGGGCACCAUGCUGAAGGUGUUCAUGAUGCAGUCUGGGAACUCCUCACGGAUCUUACUGAUG